rnacentral:rRNA from 1 species
UACGGAGGGGGCUAGCGUUGUUCGGAAUUACUGGGCGUAAAGCGCACGUAGGCGGACUGUUAAGUCGAGUGUGAAAGCCCCCGGCUCAACUGGGGAGGGUCAUUCGAUACUGAUCGACUCGAAGGCAGGAGAGGGUAGUGGAAUUCCCGGUGUAGUGGUGAAAUGCGUAGAUAUCGGGAGGAACACCAGUGGCGAAGGCGACUACCUGGCCUGUUCUUGACGCUGAGGCGCGAAAGCUAGGGGAGCAAACGGG